rnacentral:rRNA from 1 species
AUGCACUGCAGGUGGCAUAUUAUUAAGAAGGCUGAGGAGACGCUAGGACCAUUCUUUACUGACCGUCCAGAGUUGCAAAAGGCAUUCAAGUUGUGUCUGGACCACAACUUGACGGUGGAGGAGUUUGAACGGAGCUGGACGGCUAUGAUUGAAACAUAUCAAGUCCAAGACAACGAGACACUCGCUAGCCUGUGGGAGAAGCGAAUGUACUGGGUGUCGGCCUACUUCAUGUAGUGCUUCUUCCCAUUUCUGCAGAUUAUGUAGCGCAGCGAGGGGUUCAAUGCUGUUUUGAAGCGGUACGUGAGCCCUGGCAACUCAUUGCCGCAGUUUGCCAAGCAAUACACCGCUUUGCAACAGAAAAUACUGGGAUCUGAGCUACAGCAAGAAGCAAACACCGCGCUCAAGCAGCCUAAAUUGUUAACAUAUUUACCGAUGGAAAGGCAGAUGAGCAAGAUAUAUACCAACAAGAUUUUUAACAAGUGA